rnacentral:ncRNA from 1 species
AUAUUGAAUUUCGGCACUAUCCACUAUGGAUAGAUUUUGAGGAGGACAUCAUGCCAGUACUAGCGAGCUUACAACAUAACUGAUUUGGCACGAUGUCGUCUCACGGACAGGUGUACAAAUCUCAUCUGUCCGAAUGCAUAGAACCUAGCAUUCGCUAGGUUUUUUUAUGCCUGAUAUUCGGACAAA